ensembl:lncRNA
AGAAGGAGGAGAGCAGAGAAAAGCAGGUGAAUAUUUGUAUCCUUAAGAGGCAGGUAAUAUAGCUGGUAAAGUUCUUGUCUAAUUUCUGAUGUUGGCCCAGUGGAGUUCUCCAAGGGGAAAGCAGCAACAAAGGAUAAGGAGGGAUCCUUGAGGGGUGAAUUUAGUCCUAUUCCAGUGCUGGCUAGUGGCACAAGCUACCAGCAUGACUCCAGGGCAGAUACUGAAUUUCCUCCAACCAUUGUUCCCUGUUUGUUAAAGAAGAGAUCUUUUCAGGUAUAAUACUUAUUUCCAGCUACCUAAAGGCCAAGCAGGUAAUAUAAAUGAGUGAAGUCAGCUGCAAAUUAAGCAGAAGCAUGAGCUGCUGAGCUCACGCCCCUUCUGACAAGAGUCAGAUGUUUCUUCUUGAAAGUGCACCAAACAAACGAAGUGAAUCUGCAGCUACGUUAAACCCAGGAUGGACUAUCCCUAGUUAUCCUUCCAGUUCAUAGCCAUAACUUCUAAUUUUGGGUUCAUUUGUCACUGGGGAUCAACGUCUUUGUUGCCUGCUGGUAUUGGACCAGAAUCAGGAAGAGAUUAAGCAAACUCAAUAGAAGAGGUAUUAAACUUGUUUGUUUAUAAGAACAAUGGCCCCCCUAAGCAACAAGUAAGAAUUUGGUGAUUAGAUGCCAAGGUCAAGGAAGAAACACAAUUAACUAAAUCCUAUCAUUGAAUAGAAUCCAUGUACAUUCUGCAGAUUUGCCAUUUUAGUUUGAUGGAAAGAGAUAUUGUGGAGAAGUAUUUGAAGAAUUGCUCAAUGGGGCUGGAUGAUGCACACUCUAGAAGACUGAGGAAAAAGGUUUGCAGAUUUGAGCCCAGCCUUGGCAAUUUAGCAACUUGAGAAGAUCCUGUCUUGGAUAGCCAGAAGAAAGAGGAAACAAAUCUCGAGAAUAUCUGGUCCUGUUUCAGUUUUGCUUAGAAAUGGCAACCCUAGUCUUAAGGACAAAGUUGAUCAACUGAGCUUCCAGGCUUCCCUACAAUAAAGGAGAUCAAAGUAGAUAGGGAACACAGUCAUCAGGCCCAGAUGUUUUGAAUUAGUCAGGAGGACUUGGUUUUACCCGUGCUGUUAAGUAUGGCAAUCAUGAACUGAUUACCUUUACUGACAUUUUAAGAGCAGCUGGUCUGAACACAAAUGAAGAAUUGGAGUUUACACCUUUCAGAGCCAUUUCUAUGAAUACUUCCUUCCUAAUGAUGCGUUUCUUCACAAAGCUUCAGAGUUGUUAGAGCUCUUUAUAGAGCCAGCUCCAAAAGUGGCCCCAGAGAUAAAUGGGCAGCUACUAUUACAAAGCCCGGUAAACACUAGAGAUGUCAGAGUGAAGUGGCUUUAUUAAGACACUUGUUUCUGCUUAGGUUCUAAAUUGUUUAUAAGAGGAAGGAAAAGUAACAAUUUAAAGCCAGAAACUUUACUGCCUCAUUUUUGCAUGCUAGGGAAGUAGAAUCUCUCACAGGGAGACAGCUUCUUAUUCAGGAUUUUACCUUGCUGGGACACUAAAUGGGAAAUGUGACCUGCUCCUUCCUUCGCCAGGCUUUAUGUUUCCACAGGAGAAACAGAAAGGAAGCUGGAUCAGUGAUCUGAACAUAAGAGGAGUAAAAUGUGGGAAUGAGGGCCUGGGAAAAGACAACGAGGAAAGUCAGAGGAGAGGCUUUGGAGAAGAGACAGCAGAGACAGCAGCUGCUCAUGGCUGGUGGUGGGAGAGCCAUUGGCCACUCUUAUGCUUGUCCCUGCUUCUGUUCACCACAGCCGUAGGGCUACUAGGAGGAAUUCGGGACAAGUACAAAGAAGGCAAGCUUGCUUUCUACAUGUCACGCCCUACUGUCAUGGAGGUAUGGACAAAGUACAGUGGAAACAUCAAGAACCAACCAAUCAGCCCUGGCACGGGGAGUCUGGAGGUCACCAAGAAGGGGAUAGAUGGGAAGGUGCUUACCAACUGGAGCAGGAACAGCAGGCUGAGCAUUCUGUGAGGAUACAGCCUAUGCAAGCCACUCAGGUUUGAAAGGACCUGAGCAGUUUAGAGAAAAGUCAAAUUUUGAUGGCUUUUUUUGUUCAAGCUAAACUUUUUUCUUUACUGCUUAAAAAAAAUAAGCAACAAAAAAAUGAAUAUGAAGAGGACAGGGCAUAAACAGAUUUUUGUCAUAAUAAGGCUUGAGGUGUGCCUUCCAACCACUUAUCUAUUCAAUAAAUGUCCACCAAGCUCUUAGAUGCCAGGACUAUGCUAGGCAGGGAGAAUUUAGUGAUCAACCAACAGAAUGGAUCUUAUUGUCAGGGCACUUACAGCUUGGCUAGGAGAUUGAUGUGAAAAAAUCAUCACAAUAAGCAAAGUUUAACUAUAAGUGGUGGAAAAUUCUAUGUAGGAAAGUCAAGCAUUAGUGUGACAGAAUUUAAAGGGAGACCUCACUUUGACUAGGGUUGGGUCAGAGUCAGGUCAGUAGGGCUUCCAGGUGAAACUCGAUGGAUGAUUAAGUACUAACCAAGCUGAGAGGGUUGUCAGGGCUGUGGAGCUUAGGAACUAGAAGGUUACCAAUCAAUUAGUAAGCGAUUCUAAUGGGCCAUGCAGAUUGCUGAUAGCCCAGCUACAAAAAUUCAAGGCUUGGUCUGUGUUAGCCACCGAUGCUACCUCUAGCUCUGACAUUUGAUAGCAAGAAUCUGCUAUAGCUAGGACAUUGUACUAGGUGCUGACUAGAAAAGUAAUAAACAUAUGUAAGAUAUAGCUCCUCAACAGAGUGAUAGUCCAACAAAUUGGACAUUUGAUGGAGGUUUACAGCUUAGCUACAUAUAUAUUAUGUUUAUAGGGCCUUAAAAAGAUUCCUAUAAAAGAGCAGAGAGACGCUGUUAAGGUCCCUUGCUUGCUUGCUUUUGGUGUCUUCUACUUGCCAUGAACUUCUCCUCUGUGAUGCCCCUCUGCUAAGGCACCCUGCCUUGGAGCCAGCUGAUUAUGGACUGAAACCUCCACAAACUGUGAGCUAAAUCUUACCCCCUUUAAAAAAAACAGAUUCUUAUAACACUUUUCAUUAUUUGUUGUUGAAAUUAUAGAAUGAUCUAUCACUCCCAGAACCCAACUUCUGCUUCCUAAGUUUCUUCUUUUGGAUCAACUCUUAUUUAAAGCUAAAUAGUCACAAAAGGAAAGAAGGGAAAAGAAUAAAUAUGAGAAAAGAAAAAAUGGAAACAAAGUCUUUGUAAAUGGGGGGGGGGGUGAACAGGUUGAAGGGUGGGAAGGGGAAUGGGGAAAAAAUAAGAACCAAGAUAUAUUAUGUAAAGGUAUAAAUUCCCAACAAUGAAUGUCAGCAUAUUGUAUACCUAAAAUGUAC